rnacentral:lncRNA from 1 species
UUGGACGCAAGGCUUCCAUGAGGCUGUGAAGGAGGUUGCACGGAAACUGGUGGGGAUCUGAAAAGCUUUUAGUGGCCUCGCCACACACAGCACUUCAGAUGCUCAGGUGAUGAGCAACAUUUUCCAAACCCAGCUAGUGAGCACCCCACCUCCUCUGGCUUCCAGAACCUGGUGUGGAGGGCCAGGAGAGGCUUCGGGACUGAAGGGCAGAGCAGCAGACUCCGGGGCUCAUGUAGGAAGGAACAUGCCUUCAGCCAAAGAUUAUCCACGCUGCAUGGAGACUCUUGCUAAAUAUCACUGGUGUUCUCUGACAGCCAGGACAAGGAAGAAGCCCCGGCAUGCAAACCCCGGAGCCAGGGGUAGUGUUGCCAGGAGCCCUAUGCCUUGAUUUCACCCCCCAAACCCUUCAACUGGUACCUCAGAAGAGCAGAGGUGAAAGACAGGGAGCCUCCCGCUGAGAAGAGCUUCUGGGAACUCAAAGGCGCCAUUCAACUAAGAUGGAAUCUCACUCUGUCGCCCACGCUGCAGUGCAGCGGCAUGAUGUCGGCUCACUGCAACCUCCACCUCUCGGGUUCAAGUGAUUCUCCUGCCUCAGCCUCCUGAGUAGC